rnacentral:rRNA from 1 species
UACGUAGGGAGCAAGCGUUGUCCGGAUUCACUGGGUGUAAAAGGUGCGCAGGCGGGCGAGUAAGUCAGAGGUGAAAUCUCACAGCUUAACUGUGAAACUGCCUUUGAUACUGCUUUUCUUGAGUUCGGGAGAGGUUGAUGGAAUUCCAGGUGUAGCGGUGAAAUGCGUAGAUAUCUGGAGGAACACCGGUGGCGAAGGCGGCGUUCUGGACUGCAACUGACACUGAGAGACGAAAGCCAGGGGAGCAAACGGG